rnacentral:lncRNA from 1 species
UUUGACUUAAACGCGUUUUCAAAAGCCAGAGAUGCACCAAACAGCUACAGUUUAGCAUCGCUUCUUAUCUCUUUGCUUGAUCAUCUGAUUUCAUCUCUACUGAUCAUCAGCCUCAUGGCGGAAACCAAAAACAAUAGCAAAGUCAAAGUUCAUGAGGAUACUAAACUCACCCCGUUCUCCUCCAACUCAACAACCGCAGCUCCGUUCACUCUUCCGCUCACCUACUUCGACACUUACUGGUUCAAGUUCCCUCCUGUUGAACGCCUCUUCUUGUAUCAAAUCACUGAGUUAACCAGCGAUUCAUUCAACUCAGCAAUCCUCCCAAAACUGAAACACGCCCUCUCCCUCACUCUCCUUCACUACACCCCGCUCGCUGGUCACUUGAUGUGGCCUCCGGAUGCCGCUAAGCCAGCCAUCUACUACUUUCCAGACGACGGCGUUUCGCUCACAGUCGCCGAGUCCAACUCCGAUUUUGCUCUCCUAUCUGGGAGCGGGAUUCGUGAUGCUGCAGAGUUUAAUCCUUUGGUGCCCCAGUUAUCCAUAUCGGACGACAAAGCCGAGGUAAUCGCCAUCCAAAUAACAUAUUUUCCUAAUCAAGGCUUCUCAAUUGGUGUCUCGUAUCACCAUUCGCUUCUUGAUGGGAAAAGUUGGUGUUUAGGGAAUGAAAUAGGGUGACCAAGAUAAAGGUGUUUGCUCAUACAUUAUCGUGCUUUCCUCAAAGUAAAAGUGAGCAAAUGGUUGAGCAGAUCACCUCGACCAAAAUAAUAUGUGGUGACCUCAAGCACAUCACCUCGACCAGGAUGUUAUUGGUCACCUCGACCAGGAAGUUACCAGAAAGCACGAUUCAGUCAAAACAUUUUCUCCGAAAUAUUAGGGACCAUAUUCUUAGUGGGCUGAAAAUUAGUAGUUUUCUUGAGAAUUUUAGGGGAGAGGAUAAAAACCGCUAUAGUUUCCUAUAAAAACCCUAGGAAGGGGAUUUUUUGGGGGCUCUUUUUUUCUCUCUCUCUGAUUAGUAUUAAAAAUUGUUUAAUUAUCAAGCGAUAAUAUGUUAUUUUAUGCUUAUGUUAUAAUUUAUAUUUGUGUUUAUGUAAUAUAUUAUGAAUUAUUAAUUAUGUUUUAAAUAUAUUACUCAAAUAUUAAAAUUCUUGUCUACUCAUUAUUAAAUGAUGUGAAUGUGAAAAACAAAAUAUAUAAGUGAUGUGAAUGUGAACAACAAAAUAUAUAAAUUAAUUUAUGUAGUCAGGUUACAUUACUAGAGUGUGUUUAGUAUGUCGGAUUGAAAUGGACUAGACUAGAUUAUUUAUAUAAAAUUAAAAAUAAAUUAAAUAAAAAAUAAUUAAAUGUAUAUGGCUCACUUGCAAGAUCCUACAUUCAUAAAAUAUACUCUUAUAACGUGGCAGAUUCGAAACAAGAUAUUUGAGCCAAGAAAUUCAUAGAUUAUAUACUCUAAUAACAUAGUUGAUUUGAAUUUGAAGGCGAGGAGACAAUGACCACGUAAUCAAGAAUUGGUUUACAAGAAAUAGAUAUGUAAUAAAAUGAUUAAUGUGUUACACAAUUUCUUUGUGAAAACCAUUAGAUUAACUAAACAAAAUAAUUAAAAUCAAUAUGAGGGUGGCAAAUUUAACACACCCACAUUAUCUUUCUCUCGCCCUCUUGAUUAAAAUACUCCCAAGGACACUAAUUAUUCAAGAUUAUUUCAAUUGUCUUUUACUUGAGAGUCCCAUUAAUAAUAUGUUUGAACUUCUCCUUUAGUUUUCUCCACCAUCUUAAUGUUAUACAUGUUUAGGGAAUGGAAUAUGGUGACCAAGAUAAAGGUGUUUGCUCAUACAUUAUCGUGCUCUCCUCAAAGUAAAAGUGAGCAAAUGAUUGAGCAGAUCACCUCGACCAGGAUGUUGUUUUGUAACCUCGAGCACAUCACCUCGACCAGGCUUUUUUUGGUCACCUCGACCAGAAUAAUAUGUAUUGACCUCGAGCAGAUCACUUCGACCAGGAUAUUAUUGGUCACCUCGAUCAGAAUAAUAUGUGGUGACCUCGAGCACAUCACCUCGACCAGGAUGUUAUUGGUCACCUCGAUCAUGGUUUUGAAACUUGGCGAUUGGUCACUUAUUUCUACGAAGGCUUAAUACCCCAAAGUAGACAGGUUGUUGAAAUGAUGUGUAAUGGUGAAUUUAGGGAUAAAAAUCCUGAAGAUGCACUAGAUUACCUUGACCAAUUAGCUGAAAAUGCACAACAUUGGGAUACUGUUGGAACUUUUGAAUUGACAAAUAAGCAACAAUCAUCUCCAUCUAGUGGAGGAAUCCAUAACCUUAGGGAAGAUCAUGAUUUACAAGCAAAAUUUGCAUCCCUAGUUAGGAAAGUUGAAGCUGCUGUACGGCCAAGGCGGAUGUACGGUACAGCAGGUUAGGGGAAGGUGAAACUCUUAAGAAAUAAAUAUGAUUUAAUCAAAUUCUAUGUUUAAUUUUAUAAAUUAAAUUGUUUUCUAUUUAAUUUUAUACAUGUUUUAUAUUUUGAAAAUUUGAUUUAUUGUAGACAAAUAAAUGAAUUUGGCACAAUAAAUUCUUAAGAUUUAAUAUAAGGCAUGGUGAAAUGGUAUUUUGACUUAUUGUAGACAAAUUAAAUUUUGGCACAAUAAAUACUUAAUCCAUCAUAAAAUUAAAGGGAAAAUAAUAAUAAUUUGUAUAAUUAAUCUUUUGAGUAAUAAAUCUAAAACAAAUUGGCAAAAAGAAUUUAUUAAGUUUUAUUUGUUUCUAAGAGUGGAUCCAUAACCCUAACUAGUUCAAUUCCAUAGUUUCAUUUAAAUUAAGUUGUUUAUAUUCAAGUUUUAAUUUCAAUUUUUAGAUCAAAUAAAAUAAAUUAAUUAAAUCUUUUCUCUGUGGAUCGACCUCGGACUCACCGAGUUAUAAUACAACAAGACACUCUUAUACUUGGGAGUUAAAAUUUACUUUUAAGUUGUGUCACUCUCUCUUUAAGCAACUGAACCCAUGAGACCUUUUUCUCUCUCUACCACAGAGAAAUUUCUCUUUCGCCUGUGAUUUCUUUAAGAUUGAUUAUUUUGAAUUCUUUUCCUUUAAAUUUACUUAAAAGCUUUUUGUUUAAAGCAAUCAUAAUUAAGCCACAUGAAUUGUGGUAUGAGUUUUUCCAAGUAAGACCCAAAUCGCUGACUUGAGCGUCGGAGGGUUCUCGCCGGAAAAACUUCCGACACCUCCUGACUGUUGGUUGUGUUCACAGGCUCACAGGUUAUCUGCUCAUGGAUCGUCUGCUCAUGGGUUGACUGCUCAUGGAUCGUCUGCUCAUGGGUUGUCUGCUCAUGGAUCGUCUGCUCAUAGGUUAUCUGCUCAUGGAUCUUCUGCUCACGGGUUAUCUGCUCAUAGAUUGUCUGCUCAUGGAUUGUCUGCUCAUAGAAAAUCUGCUCAUGGUGCUAACUAAUCAUCAGCUUCCCACCAAACAAAUUUAAUGAUGAUGCAGGGAUCUGAGAUCUGACCAACUUAUAUGGAUUUCGGCAUCAACAAGUUGUAUGAUGUUUAUCAAAUCAUGGGCUUAUUUUUCCAAACAAAUUCAAUCAUCAGACGUUCACAACGCUAAUCCUUCUUUGGCACCGGAACUUACCCCAUGUUUUGACCGUACGGUCAUCAAAGAUCCCGAUGGGAUCGACAUGGUGUACGUUAAGCACUGGAUGGAUUUUACCGGAUCGUCCGACACACGAAGCUUGAAGGUUUUGGCUACAGCUGUUGAUAAAGAAGGAAGCUCCGACUUUGUUCGAAAAACAUUUGAAUUGAGUGGUGAAGACAUAAAGAAGCUUAGAGAUAAGGUUAACAAAAUUAAUAACGAAGCAGGGGAAUCAAAACAACUUCAUUUAUCCACUUUUGUGCUUACAUGUGCUCACGCGUACGUUUGCCAGAUUAGAGCCAAACGAGUAGAAGCUAACACAACCGUUGAGUUUGCGGUGGGAGGGGAUUGCAGGGGCCGUCUGGAUCCUCCAGUUCCUACUAAUUAUUUUGGAAAUUGUAUUGGAAGUGUAAUUGCGGAGGCAAAAGCAAGUGAUAUGAUACGGGACGAUGGGGUUGCUGUUGUUGCAGAGAAAUUAAGUGAAAUGAUUAAAGUGCUGAAGGGGAAUGGGGUGCAAGGAUCAGAGGAUAAGAUGGUAAAGACAAUUGCGAUGUUGAAAGAGAAAGGACAUGUAAUGCUAACGGCAGCCGGGUCAAACCGUUUUGAUGAUUACGGGUCCGAUUUCGGGUGGGGGAGGCCUAAGAAGGUGGAGAUUGUGUCAGUAGACAGGACAGGGGCUAUUUCUUUGGUGGAGAGUAAAGAUGGAGGAGGUGGUGGUGUUGAGAUUGGUGUCGUUUUGAAGAAGCAACAAAUGGAGGUUUUUGCUUCUCUCUUUGUUAAUGGCCUAGAAGAUCUUUGAAUUACGUACGUGUAAGUACAAUUAUGAUUAAUGUUACAAUUAUGCGGGAAGUUAUUUGGUGUGAUGCUGCUUUGCCAUGGCAAGGCAAAAAUCUAGGAUUUACCCUUUUGGGGCAGUUUUGAUGUUUGCCUUGGCCGGAUAGCAAAACUUUUUUGUCUGCCUGCUAAUAAAGGAGUUGGUGUUGUACAUGCAAAAUAAUAAUAAUUAAAGUUGUUGGGUCCGCGUUCCAUUUAACGUGACUUACCGGCUGACCCGCAAAAUAUCAUUCAGUUUUCUAUACGCUAUAUUAUUUACAAUUUAUUUAUAAUUAUUAUCAAAUAUUUUGUAUUGUAAAAUUUUGUUGAGUUUCUUAUACUUUAUUUUACAAUACUUAUAAAUAAAUUAUAAACAAUAUAGAGUAUAUGAGGCUAAUUAAUAUUUUGCGAGUCAACCGUAAGUUACGUUAAAUGUAAUUUAGGCAGACCCAAAGUUAUGGAUUUCGGCAUCAACAAGUUGUAUGAUGUUUAUCAAAUCAUGGGCUUAUUUUUCCAAACAAAUUCAAUCAUCAGACGUUCACAACGCUAAUCCUUCUUUGGAGAUUGUCUGCUCAUAGAUUGUCUGCUCAUGGAUUAUCUGCUCAUGGAUCGUCUGCUCAUGGGUUGUCUGCUCAUGGAUCGUCUGCUCAUAGGUUAUCUGCUCAUGGAUCUUCUGCUCACGGGUUAUCUGCUCAUAGAUUGUCUGCUCAUGGAUUGUCUGCUCAUAGAAAAUCUGCUCAUGGUGCUAACUAAUCAUCAGCUUCCCACCAAACAAAUUUAAUGAUGAUGCAGGGAUCUGAGAUCUGACCAACUUAUAUGGAUUUCGGCAUCAACAAGUUGUAUGAUGUUUAUCAAAUCAUGGGCUUAUUUUUCCAAACAAAUUCAAUCAUCAGACGUUCACAACGCUAAUCCUUCUUUGGCACCGGAACUUACCCCAUGUUUUGACCGUACGGUCAUCAAAGAUCCCGAUGGGAUCGACAUGGUGUACGUUAAGCACUGGAUGGAUUUUACCGGAUCGUCCGACACACGAAGCUUGAAGGUUUUGGCUACAGCUGUUGAUAAAGAAGGAAGCUCCGACUUUGUUCGAAAAACAUUUGAAUUGAGUGGUGAAGACAUAAAGAAGCUUAGAGAUAAGGUUAACAAAAUUAAUAACGAAGCAGGGGAAUCAAAACAACUUCAUUUAUCCACUUUUGUGCUUACAUGUGCUCACGCGUACGUUUGCCAGAUUAGAGCCAAACGAGUAGAAGCUAACACAACCGUUGAGUUUGCGGUGGGAGGGGAUUGCAGGGGCCGUCUGGAUCCUCCAGUUCCUACUAAUUAUUUUGGAAAUUGUAUUGGAAGUGUAAUUGCGGAGGCAAAAGCAAGUGAUAUGAUACGGGACGAUGGGGUUGCUGUUGUUGCAGAGAAAUUAAGUGAAAUGAUUAAAGUGCUGAAGGGGAAUGGGGUGCAAGGAUCAGAGGAUAAGAUGGUAAAGACAAUUGCGAUGUUGAAAGAGAAAGGACAUGUAAUGCUAACGGCAGCCGGGUCAAACCGUUUUGAUGAUUACGGGUCCGAUUUCGGGUGGGGGAGGCCUAAGAAGGUGGAGAUUGUGUCAGUAGACAGGACAGGGGCUAUUUCUUUGGCGGAGAGUAAAGAUGGAGGUGGUGGUGUUGAGAUUGGUGUCGUUUUGAAGAAGCAACAAAUGGAGGUUUUUGCUUCUCUCUUUGUUAAUGGCCUAGAAGAUCUUUGAAUUACGUACGUGUAAGUACAAUUAUGAUUAAUGUUACAAUUAUGCGGGAAGUUAUUUGGUGUGAUGCUGCUUUGCCAUGGCAAGGCAAAAAUCUAGGAUUUACCCUUUUGGGGCAGUUUUGAUGUUUGCCUUGGCCGGAUAGCAAAACUUUUUUGUCUGCCUGCUAAUAAAGGAGUUGGUGUUGUACAUGCAAAAUAAUAAUAAUUAAAGUUGUUGGGUCCGCGUUCCAUUUAACGUGACUUACCGGCUGACCCGCAAAAUAUCAUUCAGUUUUCUAUACGCUAUAUUAUUUACAAUUUAUUUAUAAUUAUUAUCAAAUAUUUUGUAUUGUAAAAUUUUGUUGAGUUUCUUAUACUUUAUUUUACAAUACUUAUAAAUAAAUUAUAAACAAUAUAGAGUAUAUGAGGCUAAUUAAUAUUUUGCGAGUCAACCGUAAGUUACGUUAAAUGUAAUUUAGGCAGACCCAAAGUUGUUGGUUAGGUAGACUAGCGGAUCCACCUUAGGCUUUUUUUAAAAUUUUUUUUAAUUUUUUUUAUGGGACUCCUAUUUUUAAUGUUUAAUUAAAAUGAUGUAUUAUCACUGACUUCAUGUUCCAAUUUUAUGUUGAAUUUAUUUGUAAGGAAUUUAAUAAUUUAUUUUUAUUUAGUUUUAAUAACAAUACAACAUGUAACAAUCUAACAAGAUUAUCAUAUUAACCAAACUAACAACAAAUAAAUAAUUCAAAUACCAAAUAACUAAAUUAAUAUGAAAUAAUGACAAAUACACUUAAGUUACAAUUGUGAUCACUUGGUGCGUCUAUUUUAAUAAUUUUAGGGUGUGUUUGGUGCAUGUGAUUAUGGUGUAUUAUAACACUGUUUACAUUAAUAUAAUAUCAAGGCUAUGUUUGGAAAGGAAUUGCAUUGGGAUAAGGGUGUGAGCUAAUGCGUCAGUUGACGCAUUAGCUUUACUUUUUUUUUUCUUUUUCUUUUGAUUUUUCCUUUUCUUUUGACUUUUCCUUUUUCUAUAAUAAUAAUAAUAAAAAUAUAAUAUAAUAUUUUUAUUUUUAUAUAAUAUUUAAUUUAAAUUAAUUACAAAAAAAUAAUAUAGUACAGUGUAGCACCAAACAUUGUACAGUAUUAUUAUAAUACAAUGCUAAUACAAUACAUCAUAAUACAAUACACUAGCAUUAAAAUAAUACAAUACAGCAUAAUACAAUACAGAGUGCAAAACGCACCCUUAAGUGUUAUAUGUUUUUUAAUUUUCAAAAUAACUUAAGGGUCAAGGAUUGGGUUAAGGCUUUCGGUAAGGCCCUAACCUUGCCUCAGAAUGUAAUGGACCUUGAUUUCUUAAGCCUUAUCUCAACUCAUAACCUUUAAUAUUCGGGCCGAAGCACUAAAAUUGUAAAUCGUUAAAUUCUUAUUUUCAGUCUCAUCCAAAUGUGGUGUAACUGAUUAGAAAGCAUUCCUUUUUGUCUAAGAAAUCUUCCAAUUAUUUUGAUGUACAGUUUUUUUUAAGCCUAUGCAAAACAUUAAUAAAACCCUUUAAUCAAGGAAUUCUUUUAAUAUGAAAGCCGUUCCUUUGAUCUUUUUGAAAGAAAUCUUCCGUUAUUUAGAAAACCAUUCCUUUGAUCUUGUCAAGAAAAAUAUUAAUUUUGAGGAUUCUCUUUCAUUCCCUCUUUCUUUUGAUAUUAUUUCCUUUGUGAUGGUGGAAGUGGUUAUUAAUGGUGCGGCCGAACAACCUUUUUUUUUUCCCAAGUGAAGAAACUGAAAAUCAAUUGAAAAGGAACUCACGUUACUCUCACUUAGACCACCGUACUCCAUAAAUCCAUUAUUGACAUAAUGGAUAAGCUUAAACCCACGAAUUUGAGGACUCUCAAACACGCUCUAAUCCUAUUAAAAUUUUUUGAAAAGGAAAAUAUCAACCGUCCACUUGUUUUUUUCAACUUUUUUAAAAAUACACAAUUCUUUUUUUUUUUUUUGGAAUCCAGCUAAAGUUACAUUUUGUUUCACUUUUCCACUUCCGUUUCGAAUUCGUUAAGAAAACUAACGAAAAUUUAAAAAAUGACCAUUUUACCCCCAAACGAAAAUUACAAUUUUACUCUAAAAAAUCUCAAAAAUAAUCAGAUUUAAUAAUGAAUAUCAGUAUUGGUACGUUAAUGAAGUACAAAAAAAUCUUAACUACUAGAGAUUAUAACUCAAUGAAUAAUAAAGCUCUACUUAUCUUAAAUACAAUUGAUGGUUUGCGAUAUUGGCUAUUUUUAAUACUAAUGUUAUAAUUUAGCAUUCUAAUUAUAGACAUAGUUAAAAAAAAAAAACCUUGCAUUUGAUGGUUGUAGAAUUAAUUUCUUUAUUGACCGAUGGGGAAAAUAAUUAGAUUUAAUCUAAUUAUUUUUGGUAAUUUUUAAGGUGAAAUUGUAAUUUUCGUUUUGGGGGGUAAAAUUGUUAUUUUUUUAAGUUUCCGUUAGUUUUCUUAACGGAUUCCAAACAGAAGUGGAAAAGUGAAACAAAAUGUAACUUCAGGUGGAUCAGCCAAAAAAAAAAAAGGAAUUAUGUAUUUUUAAAAAAGUUGAAAAAAACAGGUGGACGGUGGAUAUUUUUCCUUUUUGGAAUUAUAGAGAAAAGAUAAAUUUCACUCUUAUUCAUUCAAGAGCACAAAGGCUGAAUUUAUACAAGAAUUUGAUACAAUUAACAUAAUUUAGGAAUAAAAUUGACAAACAAUCCCUUUUAAUCAAUAAUUAAGAUGGCAACAAUUAAUCAUUUGAUUGAUUGUUUUAUUUCCAUCAAUAUUAUUUGAUUCUUAUCAGAUUGGACUAUUUGAAACAAAUUAUACCCUAUCCUAAUUUUGGGGAGUUAAAGUGGCAUAAGAUUACUUAUUCUUGAGGACUAUGGGAUUAGUCAAAUAGGAUUAUAGGUUGACAUAAUAAUUUAUUAUUAUUAAAAUUAUAUUAAUAUGUUAGGAAGGCUUGCACUAUUUACAAUUGCGCGGGAAAAUGAGAUUCCCCUUUGCCCAACUUAUUGACCACCUUUCUAUUCUGGAGGAUAUCCAGACUAGCUUAACUGACUUGUGUAGGUAAUAUGGCUUUUAAGUAUCCACCAACUAUUUGAAGAUUCAUAUUUUAUUAAAAAUAUACGAACGCUUUUUUCUUUUACAAUUAUUCACCUAAAAUUUAUAAAGCACAAUAGAUAUUCACUUUUCUGUUAACCGUCGUGAAAAAUUAAUAAUCUCAUAAGGAUAGUGUAAUCAUUUGGCAAAAUCACAAACUUUUACAGGAUUUUCAGAUUUUUUCUUUUCAAGUGAUCCCAAUACUCCCAUUGCUUAUUCACUUCGUGCCCCAAUUUGCAUGAAGAAGAAACUUGGUUCUACUAUUCAAUCUCAAUAUUAUUUUCGCUAAAAUCCUUCCAUUUUUAACUGUGAAACAAGAUUUGGACAUUGAAGAUUUGUUGAUUCGAAGAUUUUGGUGGUUUUGAGUACAGCUGUCUUGGUGCACUAGAGCUUUCAGCACCAGCCAUUGUCUAAGUUCGAUUUUGGUGAGAGGCGAUUAUGGGGGGUUUUCAAAAUAGAAGUUUGAACAUAAAAUGGAACCAACAAAAAAAAAAAAAUGGUGGGAAAGUUUUUGAUGACGACAAUUGAAGAGAGUAGAUAAAAAAUUGAAGCAAUUGAGAGAGAAUGGAAUGUCUCUAGGUUAAGUUUAGGUGAAGGGUAAUUUUGGUGGUUUCAAAAUUGAAGUGAAACUAUGAAAUGGAAUCAAGGAAAACCACGAAUGAUGCAUGGAAAAGUGCUUGGUAAAUUCAAUUUAAUGAGAAGUACGGAAUUGAAGCAAGUUAAGAGAGGAUCGGGCAGCGCAGGGUUAGGAUUUAGAUGGCGAGAUAUUUUUUAUUUUUUAAUUUUGAUUUUAUGUUGGUGAUGAAAGAUUUAAUACAAAUUUUGUGUAUUUUGUAAAUCCUAUAAUUUGAAUAAGGAGAGGACAAUGAAGGAAACCAUUUUCUGUUUUUUACUUUAUUUUCUUUUAUUAUUUUAUUAUACAAAAUCACAAAUGCCCUUAACUCAGGGGUAAAAAUAAUCAUUUUAUUCAUAUUCUGCUUAAUACUCUCAAUGUUAAUGAAAAAGUAGAAUAUUGAUAUACUUUAUAACUUUAAGUGGACAGUUGAAAAAGAAAAAAAAAAGUAUUUAUAUAUUUUUAAUAAAGUGUGAAACCCUAGGUGGUGGAUAGAUAUUCAGUCAUGCAUCUUUUUUAUUAUUGAGUAGGAUUGGAUCUCUAUCCCCCACAUAAGAGUAAAUAAUAAUUGAAUUAAUAUAAAAUUUUCUCAAGUUUUGAACUAAGAGUAAAAGUUCGUUAAGUUUCUAUAAUUUGAGAUUAGUGUCCGUUUAAUCUUUAUAUUUUUAAAAAUACCUCAAGAUAUUCCUGUCAUCAUUUUUUAUUCCUUUUGGCUUACUUUUACAAUAUUAUCCUCUUACAAUAAUGUAUUUUCUUACAUUAAUUAUAAAAAAAAUUUAAAUUAUCAAUUUAACCUCAAAAAAUAGAAUAGAAACAAAAAGAGUAUAUAUUAAUUUUUAUGGAAUAUUCUAUAGAGGAGUUAAUAUAUUAAUAUUUUUAUUAAUGUCAAAAAAAUGGUAGUUUAAUUUUUUUAGAAUAUUGAUUUUUUAUGGAUAUAUGUGAGCUUUCACAAAAAUUAAUAGAUAUUUUUUUGUUUUUAUUUUAUUUUUUGGGGUUAAAUUAUUAAUUUAAUUUUUUCUUUUCAUUAAUGUCCUAAAAAAAGAAAUAUUAUUGUAAAAGAAUAAUAUUAUAUAAGUAAGAUAAAAGGAACAAAAAGUAAUGGUAGAGAUAUUUUGAUUUAUUUUAAAAAAUAUAAUAACUAAACGGGCACCAACUUCGUAAUAUAGGAGCUAAAGAAACUUAUACCCUUUGAACUAAUGACAAACUUAUACAAAAAGUUUAUCUUAAUGAAAUUAGAAAGGGGUUCAUUGGUGGUAGGUGGCAGUUCAUAACCCACGCCAAACAGAAACGUGAGUUAGUGCUAAUUUUAUAAUUAAAAUUAAUUGAAGAAAUUGCCGCUCCACAUCUAGACUUUUCAAGAAUAGUCGAGGCAACUUUUUUGCAGUGGAUUUGGAACUGAAAAGAAAAUAAAAUUAAAAAAACGUGCUUAGACUUUAGUUCCAAUAAUUAGUGAUAUCAAUUAAAUAUUUAAUAAUAAAAGUGGCCUACAUGAAUGAACCCGCAAAUCCUUAAAAUAAAAAACUUAUCUCUGCAAACAAACAAUUUCUUUUAAUUAAAAUUUUAACGUCAAAGGAAAUAAGCGAGUAUUAUGAAAGCUGUAAGGGUUUAGUGGUCAAUUCAAUACACCCAAUGCUAGUUUAAAAAUUUUUUAAAAAAAAAUUACUUGAGAUUUUCCACCUUUUUUUAAUCAAAUGACAUUACUUACGAGGUAGUUAAGAAGUUUCAUGGUUCCACGGCCCUCUAUAAAUAGACAAAAACGUUUGAACUCGAAGAGUAUUACACAACUUAUUAAGGGAAAAUGACUUCAAAGAAGUGCUUCCUUGUUUGGCAGGUGAUGUUUGUUAUCAUGCUUCUCCUAGCCUCAGCGGUAUCCCCGAGGGCGACGACUCUGUGGGAAGCUACCAACAAUCAAUCAACUUGUGAGUAUCAAUUUUUAUUUUAUUCUUCUUCUUUUUUUCUUUAACUUUAAUCCAUUCAGAUAAUCAGCUCAUAGUCUCGCGCACAGUACUUAAAAAGAAAUGUUUGAUUCUAAGUUUAUGUGUAGGCUUGCAGAUAUAAUUAAUUAAUGACAAAAUUUCUAUUGUAUGUAAAAACAGACGGGAAGGAUGGGAAGCGCCUGAAGGCAUAUGACCAUCCUUGGUGGCACAAUUAUGCUGUGGCUGAUAAACAUUAGUUGACCUUCGAGUGCGUGGCUUCGACUUUAAACAAGUUUAAUUUCUUUGAAUUUCUAUUGUCAAUGAAUAAUAAAAGAGUACAGGUGAAAUUACUCCUGCGUCUCCGCUGCAUGAUCAAUCAAUCUCAUUUGUCUUCAGUAUUAUACUUGUGCAUUGAUAAGAUCCAGUGAAAAGGGCACAAAAAUGUUAUUAUUAUGUGUUUCAAUAAAUAUAGAUUUAUUUAUCUAUUUGUAGAAGUUAAAAUUAAUUUUUAGGUCCUUACUGUCCUUAAGAUUUAUAUUUCAGCGGCAAGUAUAAAAAAAAACAUUAAAUUAUCGAUUCAUUCCCUCAUAAUUUUUUAUUUAUUAAUUUUUAAAAGAUAAGGGUGGAUUAAUUCCACAUUGAGAUUUGAACUCGGAUAAUUAAUUAAAGAAAACUAAUAAAAAAUCUUCUGAUCAAGCCUACACAAUAGUUUGAUUUAUAGAUUGAUAUGAUUAAUUGUUCUAUGUUUUAUACUUGAUAUAUGUGAUUGUUUUUAUUAGGUUAGUGUCUACCGUCUUAUUGAUUCAGUGAGAUGAUAAAUAAAAAUAAAAAUAACAGUAAUAAUGAUUAUUUAAUAUUAACAGUAAGUCAGUAACCUUGGUGUUUAAGUGUCAGUGUUCUUUAGUUAAUCCAAACAAGGAUAAUUUUUAUUGUUUUCUCCUCAAGUAUGUCCAACUUAGGAUUUGGACUUUAUGUCCAAAUUCAAGAUGACCUUCUAUCUCAAAUUUUGUUUAAAUAAUGUGUCACCCAAUAAAGCUCGUCACAUAUUAAAAAUUGUGGACAUUAUUUAUUUUGCAUUUUAAAUAAUGUAUCAUUGGAUAAAAUUUGUCACGUGUUACAAGUUGUGGACAUUAUUAUUAUUUUUUAUUCACUGAUAUUACAAUCAGAAGUACACUGAUAUUUACAAUAAAAAAUUCAUCGAACUCUUUAUUUUUAAUGUGGUUUUAAAAUACAGCCUACUAACAUUUCAUAUCAGGACUCUUUGUCUUUGAUGCGGUUUUAAGACACAGCUCCAAUAUUCUGUCUUCAUAAUUCAUAUAUUACUGAAAGAAACCGACUCUUAAGCAGAGGAUACCGACUCUAUUCUUAGAUAAAAUUGAGCCCUAGCUUGGCACCCAAAGUUAAGUACCUGGGUUGUCGCCAAUGGGCUAAUGGGCUGUGGACAUUAUUUUUAAUAAUUAAUUUAUGCUAUAAUUUAACAGCAUGGAGUGAAUGAAUGACGACAAAUAAUGUGAAUGCCACUUUCUCCUUUGUCAAAUUUUACUGCCAUCUCUCGUCACGCUGCAAAUUUACUCGCAUUAUUAUUCAUUUCCAUUUUUCCACACGAUUUAAUUGGAUCAUGCUACGGUGCAAUUGUGGCAUCGUGCCACAGUUGCAUCUAACCGUUGGAUGCAGUUGGAUUAGUGGGGUCCACUGACAUCCAACGGCUAGAUGCAACUGUGGCACGGUGCCACAGUUGCACCUAAGGUUUGCCCGAUUUAAUUCAUAAAUUAAUGAUAACGGGUAAUUAAUGCCAAGGGCCAAUUUGACGGGUCCGCCUACCGUGCAACAGUUGCACGGUAUCCCAAUUUUUUAUCUUUUUUUAACUCAGUCAAUGGAUCAAUGGUUAAAGUGCUCAACGAUCAGGAUGUGUUCAAUUAGUUAUUAACACUUAAGUCCCUACUGUUUAUUACAAAAUCAUAAAAGUUAAAAGUUUUUAAAUAUUCACUACAUAAUUUCUGUUGUUUUAAAUUUUUUAAAGUUUGAUCCAUUGACUUAAUUUGAUUAUAAAAAUAAUUGAUGGUGUAAAUAUAAUAAUGUAAUAUCACAUAAAAAUUUUAAACACAUGAAAAUUUGAUACAUGUAAAUAAUAUUUUUUGUUAUAUAAUAUAUAUUUAAUGUAAAAUAAAUAAAUUGAAUAUGUUUUAAGAAUAUAGGUUAUUAACCUUGAUACUUUAGAAAAUUAUAAAAUAAAAAGGUGAAAUUUUAAAAUAAGAAACAUUUAAAAAGUCUUAGGUUGUAAAAUUUUAUUAUUUUAAUAUUACAAAACUUUACUCUUUUAUUACAUUUUUGUUUUUAGCAUUAGUUGACAUGUUAGUUUAUUUAUACAUACAAUAUGUUAAUUUACCUAUAAAAUAUCAAUAUAUAUAUAGCCCAACAAAGUUAUAGAAAGAUAAAUAAAGAAUAACAUAAAAGGAAGUUAGUUUAUUUUUUUAAGAAUAUUUCAAAAGCAUUUGAGCUUCAUAUUUCUUGAGAAUUAUCAUUUUUUUAAGAUAUUUGAGCUUGUGAAUCUUGUUGUAAUGAUAAUUUAUUAUUUAUUCUUGAUUAAAAAUAAUUGAAUAGUAAAUUUAUUGAUUUCCAAAUGCUCUUUUAAAUAUAGGGUAGUUGGUUAAUUUUUAUUGUAUUAGCCUAAACUUUGUGAUGAUAGCUAAUCAACCAUUGUAAAAGAUCUACCACGAUUAUUUUUACUUUCUCUACAUCUCUCUAAACCAUUAUCACUUAAAAAGUUAAAGGUCCGUUUGACACACUAUAUUAUAUUAUAUUGUAUUGUAUUAUGUAAUUCACAUGUAUUAUAUUAUAUUAUAUUACAUUAGCAGUAUAUUAUAAUAAUUAUAAUAAAAUUAUACAACAUUUGGUAAUUGGUAUUAUCAUGUACUGCAUUAAUUUUGUACUAAUAUUAAACUAAAAUUAUUUAAAUUUAUUAUUAAUUAUAUUAAAUUAUUAUUUUCAUAUUAAUUAUUUUUAAAUAAAUAUAAUAUGAUAUAAUAAAAUAAUAUUACAGUAGAAUUUAUUUUUAUAUUUUUAUUUAUUAUAAUAAAAUUUAAAAAAUAAUUAAAAUAUAUUUAAUGCUUAAUGAUGCUGCUGUACGGCCANNNNNNNNNNNNNNNNNNNNNNNNNNNNNNNNNNNNNNNNNNNNNNNNNNNNNNNNNNNNNNNNNNNNNNNNNNNNNNNNNNNNNNNNNNNNNNNNNNNNNNNNNNNNNNNNNNNNNNNNNNNNNNNNNNNNNNNNNNNNNNNNNNNNNNNNNNNNNNNNNNNNNNNNNGCUGUACGGCCAAGGCGGAUGUACGGUACAGCAGAAAAUAAAAAGGUGAAAUUUUAAAAUAAGAAACAUUUAAAAAGUCUUAGGUUGUAAAAUUUUAUUAUUUUAAUAUUACAAAACUUUACUCUUUUAUUACAUUUUUGUUUUUAGCAUUAGUUGACAUGUUAGUUUAUUUAUACAUACAAUAAGUUAAUUUACCUAUAAAAUAUAAUUAUUUAUUCUUGAUUAAAAAUAAUUUAAUAGUAAAUUUAUUGAUUUCCAAAUGCUCUUUUAAAUAUAGGGUAGUUGGUUAAUUUUUAUUGUAUUAGCCUAAACUUUGUGAUGAUAGCUAAUCAACCAUUGUAAAAGAUCUACCACGAUUAUUUUUACUUUCUCUACAUCCCUCUAGACCAUCAUCACUCAAAAAGUUAAAGGUCCGUUUGGCACACUAUAUUAUCUUAUAUUAUAUUUUAUUAUGUAAUGCACAUGUAUUAUAUUAUAUUAUAUUACAUUAGCAAUAUAUUAUAAUAAUUAUAAUAAAAUUAUACAACAUUUGGUAAUUGGUAUUAUCCUGUACUGCAUUAAUUUUGUACUAAUAUUAAACUAAAAUUAUUUAAAUUUAGUAUUAAUUAUAUUAAAUUAUUAUUUUCAUAUCAAUUAUUCUAAAUAAAAAUUUAUAAAGUUUAAUGAUGAUGACGACGACGACGACAACAUUAAUAUAAAUAUAAUAAUUAGAAUAAUAAGAUUAAUAAAUUUAUUAAUAUUAAUAAAAUAAUAAUUCAUUAAUAAAUUUAAUAUAGUUUAAAAAUAGUGACUAAUAAAAUCAAUAAAUAAUAAUAAUAAUGAUAACUAAUUAAAGCAAUCAUAACAAUUAAAAUAAUAAAUUUUAAUAAUAAUAAUAAUAAUGACAUUAAUAAAUAAUAAUAAUAACAGUUAAAUUUUUUUUCAAAGACAUUUUAUAAUUUUAUCAAGAGAAAAGGACUUAUAUAUAAAAUUUGUAACUUAUGGUAUUUAUUCAGUUUUCUUAUAAAUAUAGGGUAGUGUAGUGUAAUUGUUGAAAAAAAGACAAAAUUCAGUGUUACCUAACUGUUGCACGGUAGGCAGACCCCAAUUUGACUUAAACACGUUUUCAAAAGCCGGAGAUGCACCAAACAGCUACAGUUUAGCAUCGCUUCUUAUCUCUUUGCUUGAUCAUCUGAUUCAUCUCUACUGAUCAUCAGCCUCAUGGCGGAAACCCAAAACAAUAGCAAAGUAAAAGUUCACGAGGUUACUAAACUCACCCCGUUCUCCUCCAACUCAACAACCGCGGCUCCGUUCACUCUUCCGCUCACCUACUUCGACACUUACUGGUUCAAGUUCCCUCCUGUUGAACGCC